CAGCCGCAAUAAAACAAGCGAACACAACUGGAUUAUUCCCUUAUUAAUAGCCUCCAAUAUAUUCUCUGUUAUCAUAAUCUCACUUCUGGUUGGAGUUUUAUAUAAAAAUCACAGAAAAGAUGCUUCAUCAAGCAACCAUCAAAUUCCCACCAAUCAGGUAAUCCAGUCUUCUAUUAACUGGGAUUCUGUUCUGUUAAAUAAAUCCACAUCUGAAUGCACAGAGAAUUUUAAUAGACAUCUA